rnacentral:rRNA from 1 species
AGCGUAGACGGAGUGGCAAGUCUGAUGUGAAAACCCGGGGCGUCAACCCCGGGACUGCAUUGGAAACUGUCAAUCUAGAGUACCGGAGAGGUAAGCGGAAUUCCUAGUGUAGCGGUGAAAUGCGUAGAUAUUAGGAGGAACACCAGUGGCGAAGGCGGCUUACUGGACGGUAACUGACGUUGAGGCUCGAAAGCGUGGGGAGCAAACA